rfam:Larimichthys crocea isolate SSNF unplaced genomic scaffold scaffold1221, whole genome shotgun sequence.
GCUUACGGCCAUACCACCCUGAAUGCGCCCGAUCUCGUCUGAUCUCAGAAGCUAAGCAGGGUCAGGCCUGGUUAGUGCUUGGAUGGGUGACCGCCUGGGAAUGGCUCAUGACCGCCCCAAGUA